rnacentral:rRNA from 1 species
GACAGAGGGUGCAAACGUUGUUCGGAAUUACUGGGCGUAAAGCGAGUGUAGGCGGUCUGUAAAGUCGGGGGUGAAAGCCCCGGGCUCAACCCGGGAAGUGCACUCGAAACUCACAGGCUAGAGUAUCGGAGAGGUUGGUGGAAUUCUCGGUGUAGAGGUGAAAUUCGUAGAUAUUAGGAAGAACACCAGUGGCGAAGGCGGCUCACUGGUCCGGUACUGACGCUGAGGUGCGAAAGCGUGGGGAGCAAACAGG